AUUAAUUAAGGAUUUAUUUUACCUACUCAUACAACAAACAAGCAUAAAUAGAAAUUAGGAAACACUAAAGAUGCAGCGAUAAACCAGAAAUACGGUUGUGUGGUUGGUGAAACUGGGUGUGAAGAGGCCGUUCAGGUCCUCUCUCAGGGUGAUCGAAACCACAAACACGUAGACACCUCCAGGUUUACACUAGGUUGGUCAGUGAAUGCAUCCUGAGUGUUUUCUAGGCAUUCUGAAGACUUGAAGGGUGCAAGUAUCAUCCUCCUUUGCAGGUCUUCCCAGAAACAUCCACCUCCUGAGUCAUGACGACUUGUGUAUGAUACGAACCCAGGCCUGGGAAUCUACUGAACAGGGCUAAACAAGGAUGCCAAAAUACUAGCCCUGGCAAAUCUUUCCUAGUCAUUUGGUGGUCAGUCCAGAGCUUCUCAAACCUGCUGAAGCGAGCAGAAACACCUAUCUCUAUAAAUGGCUUAUCUCCAUUUAGGGGUAGCCUCUAGGGUUAAUCUAGGAGCUUUAAAAGCUGUUUGUCUUUUUCGUCCUUUUUUCCCGGUCGCUGCUCGAUGAAUGGGUGCAGGGAGCAGGUCCACGCCUGCUCCCUAAGUGCCUUUUCGCCAUGCCUCCGAAAAUUGAGGAAAUCAAGGACUUUCUGCUCACAGCCCGACAAAGGAUGCCAAAUCUGUCAAGAUCAAGAAAAAUAAGGACAAUGUGAAGUUUAAAGUUCGAUGCGGCAGAUAUCUUUAUACCCUGGUCACCAGUGACAAAGAGAAGGCAGAGAAAGUGAAGCAGUCCCUGUCUCCUACUUUGGCACUGAAGGAGCUGAAAUGAACCAGCCACACUGACUGGAACUGUAUUAGAAUACAAAAACAAAAA